rnacentral:piRNA from 1 species
UUGGGGAAUUGAGUCCAUUGAUUGUG